rnacentral:misc_RNA from 1 species
UACUUCUACAAUGCCAAUGAUCUCGGUUGAAAGUGGAUCAAUAAUAGAAGUAGCAUAAUCUGGUUUCGGUGUCAUCACACGAAUUACAGAGC